AAGCCCAUGAUCACUAACUAUGGCCACUCCAGGGGCAAUUUUUCAAAACUUUAUCUGAAGGAUAUUGAUCCUGUGUCAGUUAGAGUUUUGUCCUGAGACACAGAUGAAGUAGGAAGUGGGGCAGUGAUAGUGACAUACACAGGCAGUCCGGUCACCCAAGAGUUCAUUGCAGAGGUCAGCAAGGUCCCCUCAUGUUGCCACUCAGAAUCUUCCAUCAGUGAUUUGUCGCCACUCACAGCACCCAAGGGUUUUCACUUGCUCUCCUUUCCUACCUAAAAUAUCUAUACUGGGAUUUACUCCCUUCUUUCCUUUUCUCUUUCUGGAGACAAAGUAGAAUUCCAUGGCACAAGACAGGCUUGGAAGUUGAGCUGCCCAAGUUUGAAUCCUAGUUAUGCCUCUUAUUUGUUAUGAGCCUAUGAUUUCCCUUGUAGGUCACCAGUUUCACAUCUUGUAAAAUAGUCAUAACAUUUGUACUUAGUUCUGAGAAUUACAGUGAGUUAUGAAGACAAUACCUAGACUUCAGUAAAUAUUGAAUGUUGUUUUCCCUCUCCCUCCCUCCAAUCUCCUUUUUACUUCUACUGUUCAUUACCCACCAUCUUUUAGAAGGAAACUAAGGAAUCAUAUAUUUCAGGAAAGUAUCCCCUCACCUUUUCCCUUCCCACAGAUAAUCCUGUCUAUAAUUUUAAAAUAUUUGUUUAUUUAUUUAUUUGGCAGAGUGACAGGAAAAAAGGGAGAAAGAAGGAGAGAGGGAUGGGAGAGGGAAGAAGGGAAGGGAAGAGAGACAGAAAUGAGAAAGAGAGAGAAAAUAUAAUUGACAAAAUAUCUUGGCAUCUGCUAGAUCUCUCAAAUGCUCAUAUCAGUCAGGGCUGGGACACGUCAAAGCCAGCAGCCCAGAACUCCAUCCAGGUCUCCCACAUGGGUGGCAGGACCAUCUGCUGCCACCCUGGUGCAUUGCAAGAAGUUGGGUCAGAAGGAAAGUAGUUAGGACUCUAACCAGUCACUCUGAUACGGGAUGUGGGAGUCCCACAUGGCAUUAACCCAGCCCCCAUAAUGUUUUACUGAUUUAUUUGAAAGAGAGACAGAGAAAGACAGAAAGAGAGGGAGAGAAGGAGAGGGAUAGGGAGAAGGUGUGUGUGAGAGAGAGAGAGAAUAUUUUGUAUCUACUGGUUUACUUUCCAAAUGACUAUAACAACCAGGUCCUGGUCAAGCUGAAGGUGGUAUCCAGGAACUCCCUUCUGGUCUCCCACAUAAAUGGCAGAAGUCCAAGUACUUGGACAUCAUUUGCUGCCUGCACGGGUACAUUAGCAGGAAGCUGGAUAAAAAGCAGAGGAAUAGGGUCUAGGACCAGCACUCGAAUAUGGGAUGCUGGGAUAACAAAUGGGUGCUUAACCCUUUGUGCUGUAGUGCUGGCCUCUUGCCCCUAUAACUUGGCCUUACUCUGGUAUAUUAUCUCCAUUGCUCUAGGUCUCUAGAUCUCAUCUUACUGCUCUGCAAGAGACAUAUAGAGCUAAAAUUAUUAAUAUUUCUUUGCUGUACCUAAGGCAAAUGGCCCUGUUGCAGGCAUUGAUUACUAUAAUUGCCAAAGAGGUUGCUGGAAGAAGGAGUUCUGCAAGAAUGAAGGUAGAAAAAGAAAAGGGGGAAUCAUAUAUGUCAUGUAAGCUUCUCAAAAAACUUAUAUAGAAUAUAAAGAAAAAAAUACAGUAAAACCAGAAUCCAGUAAUUUUCCCAGAUUGCAUUAUUAGUUCUCUACUAUGUGACAUGCAGUCAUCGUUUAGUCAUUAGUACAAGCAAUCGUUGAUUGACUAAGAAGUAUUUACCAAAAGAAGCAAAAUUUACCACGUGUAUUUACAGUCUAAAAUGCUCUGCUCACUUAGCUUUGCUUGCAUCAACAGAAGGGGAAAAAUGCAGCCAGACAGUCUAAUUUCUUUAAGUCAGAUGAGUCACAGAAGCAAACAUUGAAAGAUGUGCUACAAAAUAACCAAUCAUCAGAUAAAACUCUUUGAUGGGGCAGAUGUAUAAAAUGAAGUGAGACUAUUUUUUAAGCUAAACGUUUGCAUAUUUACAGAAGACUGUGGUAGAAAAAGUAGAGACAUUUAGCCACAUCAUCACUUAAAGGUAAGUAUGAUUUUAAAACAUAAAGGCAAGUGAAAACAGCAGUCCUCAGUCUUCUCUAUCCAUUGAUUCCCGAACUCAUUCCUCAUCCUCAUGCCCAAUACCUAGUAAUUGUUUUUUUCCAUGGAAAGCAUCUUUGAUUUUAUCUUUGAUUAACCAUGAGGCUUUAAAAUAUGCAUUUCUUUUGUUUUUUCAGUGUCUGUCUUCAAUAUUGUGUUGUAAAUAAAAAACAUCAGCCCAUGCGCUUGCCAGUGAAUAUAAGGUGGUGUCCUCUUGCAUUUCAUUGGUAGGUGUCAUUAUACCCAUUUUGCUGAUGCAGAAAAUGCAAUGCUAUGUGAGAAGCCAUAUGUUCCGGGUCACACAGUUUAGCCUUUAUGGAGCUUACAGCUCUGUGGGUAUCUUUCCUCAACCCAGUAUGUUUUGAUAUUUCUCAAAUGCUAACUGACAAGCAUCCAGUCUGAUUAGAUGAUAACUUCCUGUAAAUCAGACAUUUAGCAUCUUACAAUGUAUUUAUUUCCUGAAACUAAUUUCAUGGAAAUCCAUCAAACUCCACCUGUCUUCAAAUGUCUAUGUGCUGUGACAUCACCAUCUUUGCACACACAUUGUUCCCUUUGAUUAAAAUAAGCUUUCCCCUUUAAGAUCCAGAAAUUUUUUCCAAAAAUUUCGUGUUCAUGUAUCUGAUUCUUUAGGAAUAUUUUUCCAGUAUUUCUUGUCUCUCUCUUCCCAUCACCAGUAUGGACCAGUAUCCUUCCUUUGGGCUCUGUGCACCCUGUGCCUAAUUCUGAUACAAUAUUUGACCCAUGAUUCUCAACAUUUUCUUCUCCCACAGUUCUUAUUUAUUUCAGGGACAUAUUUUAUACAUCUGUAUAUCCCUAGUAUCUAUUAUGGAUUUCAGCAAAUAGACUAUAUCAAUGAACAUGAAGACAAAUAAGAAAUCACUAGAAUUCCAUUAUUGCUUAUGAAGUCCAUCACCGUUCUAAGCGGUGAUAUGUAGAAUCAAGUAAUUCUCAUAACAUACAUGCAAGAUGGACACUAACGAUAAGGAUCUUUUCUUACCAGAGAAACAGAGAGAAAAGAACAUGUAGACAAAUACAUAUACAGAAAUCAUAGAAAUGGGGAUUUUGCUAAUCAUUUAUUUGAUGAUUUUCAACUGGAAGAAAUUUACGAUGUAUCUAACUGCAUUAACACAUACGUGAUGUGAAUCCUAGGUGGCUCUCUGUAUUCUGUCAUAGUCUGUGUUAGAGUCCUCAGCCUUGAUGUCGCAUCUACAUUCAGGACACUGAAGAAGUUCUCAGAAUGUGAGUCACAUGGAAAAUGAUUGGAGGAUGUAGACUUUGGAAAGAGGAUGCUCUGGGGACACAUGAUCACUGUUCAAAUAGCUAAAGGGCUGUCAUGAAGGAGAGUGAUUAGAUUCAUUUUGCUUGGCCCCAGGGGGUACAAAACUGGGAUUAAUGGCUGGAAACUUGAGGAGAGAGAACGCUGCUCAGACUGAGGCAGGUUUUCUAUCAAGAAAGGUCUCUGUUGCUGGGUUGCCUGCCUUGGGGAAUAGGGAACCUUGGUUCACCUACAGCAGGGGAACUCAGACUGUGUCUACUUGAUAGGCAUUGUUGUCUUUCACAGAGGGGAUCCUGCCUUUGGUAGGAGAGGAAUUUACAGGGCCACCAUGAUCUCUACUAAGUAUAAACUUCAAAGAAAAUGGUAACAAACUAGGAUACUAUAUGCCAUGAACAAACGUGUCUUUCUAUUAAUCUUAAUUGAAACAUUAACAGCAAUAAUGUUAAAAUUAAUUUUAAUGACACCCCUUCCCAUAGUGUUAGUAGUAGUGGUUUUCAGGACAGGGCCUGGGUACCAGGUCCAUAAUCUCUCCACAAGACAUUCUGCACACCCUGUGUCAUUGAAAUGGCCCAGCAGUCCUGAAUGGCUGAUGUUAUCAAUCCCACUUUGCAGUUGUACGGGACUGAGGCUUUGGGGGAGGUGAAGGCAUCUGCUUGUGGGUAGCUAGACAGUAACAUUCAAACUCAUGUAGAUCUGACCCCAAACCAGUUCUUUUUCUGUUUUACAGAAGGGCAGUAGGGGAAGGGAUGAGAAGACAGUAGCAUAUAAUAUCUAGUCCUAGGGUUAAGCCAGAUUUAUUUUGGGAAAAGAUGAUAUUCUUCUUGAAACUUUAUAAAGUUUCUUGAUUCUUUCUGAGAUGAAUCCAUUUCAUCCUGAGGCCACAGCAUGCUUCUUAGGAAGAGACACUUCACAGUUGCUUGAGAUGGCUGGCGCCGUAGCUCACUAGGCUAAUCCUCUGCCUGUGGUGCGGGCAGCCUGGGUUCUAGUCCCAGUUGGGGCGCCGGUUCUGUCCAGGUUGCUCCUCUUCCAGUCCAGCUCUCUGCUGUGGCCCGGAAAGGCAGUGGAGGAUGGCCCACGUGCUUAGGCCCUACACCCGCAUGGGAGACCAGGGGGAGACACCUGGCUCCUGGCUUCGGAUUGGCGCGCAGCCAGCCGUGGCGGCCACUUGGGGAGGGUGAACCAGCGGAAGGAAGACCUUUCUCUCUGUCUCUCUCUCUCUCACCGUCUAACUCUGCCUAUCAAAAAAAAAAAAAAAAAAAAGUUGCCUAAGAACAGACCAACUGGUGCAUAUGGUGCACAAAUAUCUUCUCACAAAGAGAAAUUGAGAGGAUCUCAGGUAGUGUACGAUGUAGAACUUUAAAAUGAACUGGAGGAUCAACAAACGGUGGGCAGAUUUGGAAACGCCAUCAGCAUAUCAGAAAUAACAAAACUAAACAUAUGUAUGAAAGCAAAUGAUUGUAAGCUCUGAUAUAGUCUCUUCCCCAAGAGAUUUAAGAAUCUGAGAUGGGUGCGCUAAUGUACAGAAAAUAAAUCACAUGACAGAAUUCGCCAACCAGUUUUCAGAACCCACCCCCCACUGUGAAGCCUUUAUUCAUUUUUCUAAUUCCCGAAUUUCUCUAUCAAUCUCCUUUAGAACUUCUCCUCUGCACUGCAAAAUUAGGUUCUGAAUCCUGCUCCGUCUUUUAUUACUGGAUUUUUUUCUUUUCAAUGCCUUCUUUCCUUUCCCAAAAAUCCCAGGGUGGGCUGCAGUUUGGAGAGAAAUGCCAGCUGGAGGUCUUCAGGACCUUCACUUUGAGACGCAUGGUGAAUUCCAAUGUGUGGUCUUUAUGGUUUUGCAACCCCAAGAAUGGUGAUUGAUUUGACCAUUGAUUCUAUUUUCCUAACACUUGAGUUGUCUUAGUGUAAAGUGGAGGUGAUUUGGAGAAAACAGAAGCUUAUUGUCCCAACCACUUGCAAAGCAAUGAAGACAGUCACUCACUGGAAUUCCACCUAAGGGGAUUCCUGCAUGUACUUUGAAGAGAGAAAUAAUAUGCAGAGUGAAUAAAGAACAUCAAUAAAACCACCAAUAGAGAAAGAUGCUCCCUGAAUGGUUUGAGGAUGAAAAUUUGGGACUGAGCAACCAGGUACAGCUAAACUGUGCGGGGCUGUUACAUCACACACCUCGAGGAGGCCUCCGUGGCAUCAAAGCGGAGGCGUGAACUUUGAGCAGUGGAAUAUCUGAUGGAGAAAAUCUGAUUCAUAAAGAUAUGAUGUAAGGUCCCUUUUCUAUUUAUUUUUAUUCCUAUCAUACCUUCAGUAACUUUUACCAAACUUGAUCUUGCUUUUGUGAGACUGGAUUGCUAUUAAAAUGGUACUGGGUUAGUAAUGUGAGUUUGCACAGGUGAGACAGUAUCUCUUGACGCUAAAACUAAACAUGGAGAGGACAAUUGGGUUGCAUGUAGUUAUGAGAUGAUGAUGUCUAACUUUUGGGACUGUUAGAAGAAUUAAACAAAACAAAUUAUAAAUAUGUGAAAGUAGUCGAUGCUCAACACAUGUUUAUUAACUUGUAAUGGGAAAGCAAAUGUUAUCAACUACUCAUGAGAAACAUGAUGAAGUUGGUAACAAUGAGAACUCAGAAUGGGUGUUGUGUGGGGGGGGGGUGACUAUUGGGAUUUCAUGUGGAGACCUGUAACAAUGAGAGCAUCUCACGAAUGAAGAGGGGACUUGGUGAUGAUACAGAUGGCUUCAACUUGAUAGUCUGUGCACCACCUCUGCAACAGGACCUGCCUAGUCGUAGGGAAAGAGGUCCCUAUUUCUGUCUCUCUUUUCCCCCACACCUUCUUGGGACAUAUUAUAAAUCUGUGUCUUCUUGCCUGCUCCUUUCUUUGGAUACCCACAGCCCUCUUCAAAUAUGUUAAUACAUGAAAUUUUGCUCCAGCCAAAUCUUUUGAUUGCCAAGAAGUCAUUUAUCUCUCUUAUAUGAUUUUUUAUACUGGUCCCUUAUUUUAUUCUAUUUUUUUUUAAUCCCAGAGUUUAUUGUUGCUGCUCUGAGUACUGGAGACAAGAGAACAGCAACUUACUAUGUGGGUGUGGGAGUUGGAGUCCCUGGCUUGCUAAAUGCCGGUUUUGCUUCUGUGCUGUGGGUGGCUUGCUUGCCUGCUGUAACGCCAUGACAGGCUUCAUCCUGGACCAGGAUGGAGGCAGGCCGGCUUCUUGGAAACAAAGAACACAAAACAUUUCCUGGAAUUUAUGGCCCAUUGUUUCCCACCAUUUCCUUUGUGUAACGUUCCUGCCAUUUCUUUUUGUGUGACGUAUAGCCCUGUUACAUUUAAACAAACCAAUAAAGAUGCUAGGUUUAGAUACUUGCCAUAUAGAGAAUAAGGAAGUAACACACGUAUGAGAUGAUGUGCAUGCUUGUUUAUAUGAGGCUAUAAAAACUUCUCCUGUAUGUAGGAGGGGGCCUUUUGCGUGUGCACUGCCGGAAGGCUGUGUGUGGGUAGGGGGUCCCAGCCGGCUGGUAAUAAAUAACCUUCUGCUUUUGCAUCGUGACUGUGCUUUGUGUUUUGUUUGGGAAAUCGGACACUACAACUAAAACUCUCAUAAGUAUAAGUUUCUUGGGAGAGGGGCUGGCGCUGUGGUUUGGUGGGUUAAGCCACCACCUGCAGUGCUGGCAUCCCAAAUGGGCACCAGUUCGAGGCCCAGCUGCUCCACUUCUGAUCCAGCUCCCUGCUAUGGCCUGGGAAGGUAGUGGAAGAUGGCCCAGGUCCUGGAGCCCCUGUACCUAUGUGGGAGACCGGGAAGAAGCUCCUGGCUUCAGAUUGACUCAGCUUCAACCAUUGCAGUCAAUUGGGGAGUGAACCAGCAAAUGGAAGACCUCUCUCUCCCUCCCUCCCUUCCUCCCUCCCUUCCUCUCUCUCUCUGCUGCUCCUUCUCUGUAUAACUCUGACUUUCAAAUAAAUAAAUAAAACUUUUUUUAAAAAAAAUGUUUCUUAGGUGAGAAAUCUUGCUUUUGUCUUUGCAUCCCCAGAAAUUCUAGGACAGAACAAGGCACAGACUAGAAGUUCGGCAAACAAGCAAGUUUUUCCCAAGGUCCUUUUGAUGUGAAGAGAAGAGUUGAAGCAUGGGCACUGACUCUUAGAUCUUUGUCAAAUCCAUUGCUCAGCAUGCAUCCCAUGGCCCUGCCUGAGAAACGUGGAGGAGGGACAUCGAUACUUGGAGAACAAAGCUCCUGAAGCCCUUUAAAUGCCAUUGUCAUCUACAUACCCAUACCAUCACUCCAGUUUCAGUUCUGCUGCUUGAUUCCUGCCCAAUUACAGCUGAGGACUGAAGAUGAAACUCUUUCAGUUUUGGACAGAGUUUCCAUACAAACUCAAGAAAAAUGGCACUCCUAUAUUAAUAGCUCCACAGCACAUCAUAGCUCACCAUGCAUGAAAACAGCCCCAGUGUGCAUCUAUGGAUGGACAGAAAAAUAAAAUGAAGGUAUACACAUAUGAGAGAAUUGUAUCUAACCAAAAAAUAAUUAAAUUCUGAAAUAUGCUGCAAAAUGGAUGACCCUUGAGACAUCAUGCUAAAUGAAGCCAAUCACAGAAUGAAAAAUAUUGCACAAUUUCACUUAUCUGAGGCAUCAAGCAUGGUCAAACCCAUAGAAACAGAAGAUAACAUGGUAGUCACCAGGGCACUGGGGGAGAGGCAAACAGGUGGCUGUUAUUUAAGGAGUACACAGUUUCAUUCUUGCAAGAUGAAAAAUGUCUGGAGAUUGGUUUCAAAGUGUUAUGAACACCCUAAUAGACUCUAAUGUUUACGCUUCAAAAUGGUUAAUGUUGUGUAUAUCUUAUCACAAUUUUUAAGUUACAACAUUUAAAAAGAAAUGAGAAGAAAUGGAAAAGGCCAAGGAUAUCAUCAAAGGCAUAUAACCCAAAGUAGAGUCAGAGAAUGGAGGAGAAUCAGAGAGCCAGGAAAGGGGAGUGAGGAAACAGGUGGGGUCAGCAGCCUCCAUGAAUUCCUGCCUCAAGACCUCUACUUGUUGUUGGAAUCGGCAGCAUUGAAAAUGGGGUUGAGGUAUAGUCUUUCAACUUCUGAUGCCUUUUCUGGCUCUUCUUCUUCUCCUUCGGCUACUUUCUAGGGAAAAAAAAGUCUUUAAAUUUAAGAUAUAUUUUGAUUAGAGAUCCCAUCUGUUAAUGCACACCUUCACAGUGCUGAUGGACUGGCCAAGACGUGCAGCACAUUUUGGAUGCUUUUAUAGAAAAGCAGAGACUUAUUUUUCUAAUAACUCUUUCAUCUGCAGCAUCUAGUUUUUCCAUUAGGAAAACUAAAAUAGCUUGUGGAAUUGCUUUUUUCCUUCUACAAUAACAGACACUGCAGUGAACUAGUCACUUUGGGACAUAUGUAGAAUAUGAUGUAGACACAAUGAGAAAAUUUUCUCUCUACUCCACGCCCUUUUGUCAGAAGGACAUUUUGUGACUUCUCCUUUAUGUUUCUGGGUCACAGAACAUCUUCCCUUGUGUGAGUGGAAGAGAUAAUUCAUAACAACAUAUGUGGAGAUAAUGGACUGUGAUCUCUUUGAGGGCAGAUAGUAUCUAUAAAUAAUUUUAAUAACUCACAAAGAGCCUUGGCCAUAAUUAGGUUCUAAGUAAGCAUUUUUCUUUAUGUAUGUUUUCUUUCACUGGGAAAGACUAGAUAAUUCUUUUUUGUUAGAGGUGGUGGGGGGUAGACAGUGAAUAUCAGUCAGGGUUGGCUAGAUUAAGCUUUGAUAAUAAAGAUCCCCCAAACUCUAUUGACUUAGAAAAUGGGACUGCAUUGCUCUCUCAUAUAAUAUGUCCAUUGCAGGUCAGCGAUAGCUCUGCCCUCUGUCACCCUUACUUUGGGAUACAUGCUAGAAAAAUAACCUUCCUCUGGUUGUCGUAAUCAAGAGAACAAAAGAGCAUGAGGAGCUAAACUUCUGUUGCUCAAAAGCAACACAUUUGUGUGGUGACAUUUCAUUGGCCAAAGUGAUUCACAUGGUGCCUCAAGUUCAAUGGGGGUCGUUAUGUAUAAUCUUUCUGAAGAGAUGGUUCUUGUAACAUCAGCAAUAGCAAUAACAAAUGGAACUGGCUACUGAAUAGGUAACUGAAGAAGUGGAAAGAGAGCUACUAUCACUACAAGUUUCCAGGAACUGUAUACAUG